rnacentral:rRNA from 1 species
UACGGAGGAUGCGAGCGUUAUCCGGAUUCAUUGGGUUUAAAGGGUGCGUAGGUUGUUUUAUAAGUUAGCGGUGAAAUACCGAUGCUCAACAUCGGGGCUGCCGCUAAUACUGUAGGACUAGAGAUCGGAUGCAGCAGGCGGAAUGUGUAGUGUAGCGGUGAAAUGCAUAGAUAUUACACAGAACUCCGAUUGCGAAGGCAGCAUACCGGCGCUCAACUGACGCUCAUGCACGAAAGUGUGGGUAUCGAACAGG